GUGCUCAUCUUGGCAGUAUAUAUAUUAAAAUGAAAACACCACAGAGAAUAUUGGCAUGGCCCUACUGCAAAGAUAAUAUGAAAACUUGUGAAAUGUUCCAUAUUUGC
rnacentral:snRNA from 1 species